CGGAGAGUGGUGUAACGGUAACAUACACGAUUCGGGUUCGUGUGACUCCGGGUUCGAUUCCCGGCUCUCCGACCA
rnacentral:tRNA from 1 species